rnacentral:misc_RNA from 1 species
GAUGAAGAACGUAGCGAAAUGCGAUAAGUAAUGUGAAUUGCAGAAUUCAGUGAAUCAUCGAAUCUUUGAACGCACAUUGCGCCCCCUGGCAUUCCGGGGGGCAUGCCUGUCCGAGCGUCAUUUCUGCCCUCAAGCACGGCUUGUGUGUUGGGUGCGGUCCCCCCGGGGACCUGCCCGAAAGGCAGCGGCGACGUCCGUCUGGUCCUCGAGCGUAUGGGGCUCUGUCACUCGCUCGGGAAGGACCUGCGGGGGUUGGUCACCACUAUAUUUUACCACGGUUGACCUCGGAUCAGGUAGGAGUUACCCGCUGAACUUAAGCAUAUCAAAAGCGGAGGA